rnacentral:rRNA from 1 species
GAUGAACGCUAGCGGCAGGCUUAAUACAUGCAAGUUGAGGGGCAGCAUGAUAUACGUAAGUAUAUUGAUGGCGACCGGCGGACGGGUGAGUAAAAGGUAGGAGACCUACCUCAUACAGGGGGAUAGCAUAGAGAAAUCUGUGGUAAUACCCCAUGAGGUUAUAUGAAUAGAGGCAUAUAAUCAAAGUAUACGAGAGUAUGCGGUAUGAGAUGGGCCUACUGACCAUUAGCUAGUUGGUGAGGUAAGGGCUCACCAAGGCGAAGAUGGUUAGGGGUUUUGAGAGAGAGAUCCCCCACAUUGGAACUGAGAUACGGUCCAGACUCCUACGGGAGGCAGCAGUAGGGAAUAUUGGGCAAUGGGCGAAAGCCUGACCCAGCCAUGCCGCGUGAAGGAAGACGGCCUUAUGGGUUGUAAACUUCUUUAACUAUACGAAUAGAGGUUAGUACGAGUUACUAAUAGGAAGGUAGUAUAGCAAAAAGCACCGGCUAACUCCGUGCC